rnacentral:rRNA from 1 species
GAGUUUGAUCCUGGCUCCAGAUUGAACGCUGGCGGCAUGCCUUACACAUGCAAGUCGAACGGCAGCACGGGAGCUUGCUCCUGGUGGCGAGUGGCGAACGGGUGUGUAAUGCAUCGGAACGUAUCCUGGAGUGGGGGAUAACGUAGCGAAAGUUACGCUAAUACCGCAUAUUCUGUGAGCAGGAAAGCGGGGGGACCUUCGGGCCUCGCGCUCUUGGAGCGGCCGAUGUCGGAUUAGCUAGUUGGUGAGGUAAAGGCUCACCAAGGCGACGAUCCGUAGCAGGUCUGAGAGGAUGAUCUGCCACACUGGAACUGAGACACGGUCCAGACUCCUACGGGAGGCAGCAGUGGGAAUUUGGACAAUGGGGGCAACCUGAUCCAGCCAUGCCGCGUGAGUGAAGAAGGCC